rnacentral:siRNA from 1 species
CUUGACCGUCAUCUUUUGCCCG